rnacentral:rRNA from 1 species
GACUAACGCUGGCGGCGUGCCCAAUACAUGCAAGUCGAACGGGAUUCUUUGAUCAGCUUGCUGAGAGAAGGAUCUAGUGGCGGACGGGUGAGUAACGCGUGGGAAUCUGCCUCUUACUGGGGGAUAACAGUGGGAAACUACUGCUAAUACCGCAUAAGAUCUUCGGAUGAAAGGUGCAACUGCACCGGUAAGAGAUGAGCCCGCGUCCCAUUAGCUAGUUGGUGAGGUAAAGGCUCACCAAGGCGACGAUGGGUAGCCGGCCUGAGAGGGUGAACGGCCACACUGGGACUGAGACACGGCCCAGACUCCUACGGGAGGCAGCAGUAGGGAAUCUUCCGCAAUGGGCGCAAGCCUGACGGAGCGACGCCGCGUGAGUGAUGAAGGCCUUCGGGUCGUAAAGCUCUGUUCUUGAGGACGAAUAAGCCGAGGGAGUGGAAAGCCCGUGGUGAUGACUGUACUCGAAGGAGAAGCUCCGGCUAACGUACGUGCC